rnacentral:sRNA from 1 species
UAUCGGUCGUCGAUGCGGCAGAUGCUGUA